UUGUGGAGUUGUGGUUCUGGGUCUUGGUCCUUUGCAUCAGCAAAGUCAUGCCAUGAGCGGUCGCAAGAACGCCAACUGAACGGGGCUCACUCUC
rnacentral:RNase_MRP_RNA from 1 species